UGGGGAAUUUUGGACAAUGGGCGAAAGCCUGAUCCAGCAAUGCCGCGUGUGUGAAGAAGGCCUUCGGGUUGUAAAGCACUUUUGUCCGGAAAGAAAUCCUCUGGGUUAAUACCUCGGGGGGAUGACGGUACCGGAAGAAUAAGCACCGGCUAACUACGUGCCAGCAGCCGCGGUAAUACGUAGGGUGCAAGCGUUAAUCGGAAUUACUGGGCGUAAAGCGUGCGCAGGCGGUUUUGUAAGACGGAUGUGAAAUCCCCGGGCUUAACCUGGGAACUGCAUUCGUGACUGCAAGGCUAGAGUAUGGCAGAGGGGGGUAGAAUUCCACGUGUAGCAGUGAAAUGCGUAGAGAUGUGGAGGAAUACCGAUGGCGAAGGCAGCCCCCUGGGCCAAUACUGACGCUCAUGCACGAAAGCGUGGGGAGCAAACAGGAUUAGAUACCCUGGUAGUCCACGCCCUAAACGAUGUCAACUAGCUGUUGGGGUUUAUUAACCUUAGUAGCGCAGCUAACGCGUGAAGUUGACCGCCUGGGGAGUACGGUCGCAAGA
rnacentral:rRNA from 1 species